UGGCAACUGGCUCUCAAAGUGGGACGUGUGUCUAUCUUGUGGUGCUCGGCAGGCGAUGAAAAACUUGGCCAGCUUCAGCAGCAAGGCAGCCAUUAGAAAAUUAACCCUUGGUGACCAAGGAGCAAAGAAGGAAGAAUGAGUGUGAGGAGAGAGAAAGAAAGGCAGCAACUGAAAAGGAGGAGCAAUGGUGAGCGUGGCAGAAAUGCAAAGGGGCCCGAGGACAGAGCAGGGGCUGCAGGAGCGACAGGAUGCUGAAGAUAGUUGUCCCAGCUACGAGAUAAAAGCUACAUUACAUGAAAUUAAUGGAGGCUGUCUGAGACAUACAUGAAUCACUGUUUCACCACUAAGAAGCCGGCACAAAAGAAUAAAGAAAUCUGAGUACUGACUACAUCU